rnacentral:tRNA from 1 species
GCGGAUGUAGCCAAGUGGAUCAAGGCAGUGGAUUGUGAAUCCACCAUGCG